rfam:Camelus ferus unplaced genomic scaffold scaffold818, whole genome shotgun sequence.
GAGGGCAUAGCUUAAGAGGUAGAGUGCAUGCUUAGCAUGCACGAGGUCCUAGGUUCAAUCCCCAGUACCUCCU